rnacentral:rRNA from 1 species
AUUGAACGCUGGCGGCAGGCCUAACACAUGCAAGUCGAACGAGUGGCGGACGGGUGAGUAAUGUCUGGGAAACUGCCUGAUGGAGGGGGAUAACUACUGGAAACGGUAGCUAAUACCGCAUACCAUCGGAUGUGCCCAGAUGGGAUUAGCUAGUAGGUGGGGUAAAGGCUCCCCUAGGCGACGAUCCCUAGCUGGUCUGAGAGGAGGACCAGCAACACGGGAACGGGGACACGGUCCAGACCCCGACGGGAGGAAGCAGUGGGGAAUAUUGCAAAAGGGGAGCAAGCCGGAUGCAGCAAUGCCGCGUGGAUGAAGAAGGCCUUCGGGUUGUAAAGUACGUUCAGCGGGGAGGCGUUACCCGCAGAAGAAGCAACGGCUAACUACGUGCCAGCAGCCGCGGUAAUAC